rnacentral:ncRNA from 1 species
CAGCGCCUGCUGCAUGACGGUCAAGGCUGUCAUGCCCGCGCGCUUCAUGAAUCUGGUCGAGCCGCUGGGCGCCCGCGUGGCGGGGCCCACCGACAGGCGCACCACGGAUACCGCCGCGCAGCAUUGCGCGGGCCGGUCCGGCGCAGUCUCCCCGCUGAUCGGCGAGAGCCUUCGGCGGGGCGACGUGGAUAGCUCGGCACACCG